CCCGGGCCUUGUACACACCGCCCGUCACACCACGAAAGUUGGGUCGCAACCAAAACCGUGAUCAACCCGCAAGGGAGAUAACGGUCCAAGUUGUGACCAAUGAUUGGGGUG
rnacentral:rRNA from 1 species